AUGGACGCUGGCGGCGUGCCUAACACAUGCAAGUCGAACGGAGUCCAGCCUUUAAGACCUUCGGGUCAAAGAGGGGAAGACUGAGUGGCGGACGGGUGAGUAACACGUGGGCAACCUGGCUCAUAGAGGGGGAUAACAGAGAGAAAUUUCUGCUAAUACCGCAUAAGCACACACUGCCGCAUGGCAGAGGGUGAAAAGAGAAUCGCUAUGAGAUGGACCCGCGUCUGAUUAGCCAGUUGGCAGGGUAAGAGCCUACCAAAGCGACGAUCAGUAGCCGAUCUGAGAGGAUGAACGGCCACAUUGGGACUGAGACACGGCCCAAACUCCUACGGGAGGCAGCAGUGGGGGAUAUUGCACAAUGGGGGGAACCCUGAUGCAGCGACGCCGCGUGAGUGAAGAAGUAUUUCGGUAUGUAAAGCUCUAUCAGCAGGGAAGAUAAUGACAGUACCUGAAGAAGAAGCCCCGGCUAACUACGUG
rnacentral:rRNA from 1 species